rnacentral:tRNA from 3 species
CGGGGUGUAGCGCAGCUCGGUAGCGCGCAGCGUUCGGGACGCUGAGGCCGUGGGUUCGAAUCCCGCCACCCCGACCA